CCUACGGGGAGCAGCAGUGGGGAAUAUUGGACAAUGGGGGGAACCCUGAUCCAGCCAUGCCGCGUGUGUGAAGAAGGCCCUCGGGUUGUAAAGCACUUUCAGUGAGGAAGAACGCCUGGUGGUUAAUACCCAUCAGGAAAGACAUCACUCACAGAAGAAGCACCGGCUAACUCCGUGCCAGCAGCCGCGGUAAUACGGAGGGUGCGAGUGUUAAUCGGAAUUACUGGGCGUAAAGCGCGCGUAGGUGGCUUGAUAAGCCGGUUGUGAAAGCCCCGGGCUCAACCUGGGAACGGCAUCCGGAACUGUCAAGCUAGAGUGCAGGAGAGGAAGGUAGAAUUCCCGGUGUAGCGGUGAAAUGCGUAGAGAUCGGGAGGAAUACCAGUGGCGAAGGCGGCCUUCUGGACUGACACUGACACUGAGGUGCGAAAGCGUGGGUAGCAAACAGGAUUAGAUACCCCUGUAGUC
rnacentral:rRNA from 1 species